rnacentral:rRNA from 1 species
GGAUAACUGUGGUAAUUCUAGAGCUAAUACAUGCAAACAGAGUCCCGACCAGAAAUGGAAGGGAUGCUUUUAUUAGAUCAAAACCAAUCGGCCGGCUCGUCCGGUCCGUUUGCUUUGGUGACUCUGGAUAACUUUGAGCUGAUCGCACGGUCCUCGUACCGGCGACGCAUCUUUCAAAUGUCUGCCUUAUCAACUGUCGAUGGUAGGUUCUGCGCCUACCAUGGUUGUAACGGGUAACGGGGAAUCAGGGUUCGAUUCCGGAGAGGGAGCCUGAGAAACGGCUACCACAUCCAAGGAAGGCAGCAGGCGCGCAAAUUACCCACUCCCGGCACGGGGAGGUAGUGACGAAAAAUAACGAUACGGGACUCAUCCGAGGCCCCGUAAUCGGAAUGAGUACACUUUAAACCCUUUAACGAGUAUCCAUUGGAGGGCAAGUCUGGUGCCAGCAGCCGCGGUAAUUCCAGCUCCAAUAGCGUAUAUUAAAGUUGUUGCGGUUAAAAAGCUCGUAGUUGGACUUGUGUCCCACGCUGUCGGUUCACCGUUCGUCGGUGUUUAACUGGCAUGCCCGUGUGGACGUCCUGCCGGUGGAUGCGGUCGGCCGUGGGCCUCUGGUCUGCGCGUCGGCGGUCCGAUGCAAUCCUACCGCGGUGCUCUUCACCGAGUGUCGAGGUGGGCCGGCACGUUUACUUUGAACAAAUUAGAGUGCUCAAAGCAGGCAGUGGUUCGCCUGAAUAUUGUGUGCAUGGAAUAAUGGAAUAGGACCUCGGUUCUAUUUUGUUGGUUUUCGGAACUUGAGGUAAUGAUUAAUAGGGACAGACGGGGGCAUUCGUAUUGCGACGUUAGAGGUGAAAUUCUUGGAUCGUCGCAAGACGAACCUAAGCGAAAGCAUUUGCCAUGAGUGUUUUCAUUAAUCAAGAACGAAAGUUAGAGGUUCGAAGGCGAUCAGAUACCGCCCUAGUUCUAACCAUAAACGAUGCCAGCUAGCGAUCCGCCGAAGUUCCUCCGAUGACUCGGCGGGCAGCUUCCGGGAAACCAAAGCUUUUGGGUUCCGGGGGAAGUAUGGUUGCAAAGCUGAAACUUAAAGGAAUUGACGGAAGGGCACCACCAGGAGUGGAGCCUGCGGCUUAAUUUGACUCAACACGGGAAACCUCACCAGGCCCGGACACCGGAAGGAUUGACAGAUUGAGAGCUCUUUCUUGAUUCGGUGGGUGGUGGUGCAUGGCCGUUCUUAGUUGGUGGAGCGAUUUGUCUGGUUAAUUCCGAUAACGA